GAUGAAGAACGCAGCGAAAUGCGAUAAGUAAUGUGAAUUGCAGAAUUCAGUGAAUCAUCGAAUAUUUGAACGCACAUUGCGCCCGCCAGUAUUCUGGCGGGCAUGCCUGUUCGAGCGUCAUUUCAACCCUCAGGCCCCCAGUGCCUGGUGUUGGGGAUCGGCCCAGCCUUCCUGUAAGGCCGCCGGCCCCGAAAUCUAGUGGCGGUCUCGCUGUAGUCCUCCUCUGCGUAGUAGCACAACCUCACAGUUGGAACGCGGCGGUGGCCAUGCCGUUAAACACCCCACUUCUGAAAGUUGACCUCGGAUCAGGUAGGAAUACCCGCUGAACUUAAGCAUAUCAAUAAGCGGAGGA
rnacentral:misc_RNA from 1 species